UUCAAGAAAAGUGUGGCAAAUCAUAAAAUAUCCCGAGAGCAUCGUGUGCGGCCGGCGGUUCUGGAAUUUCGGCGAGCGGCAGCACUGGCGAUUGCCGUCUGGGGAUUUGCAGCUUCACCGGCGAUUGAGGCAGGCGGAGAGCGGCUGCACCGGCGGUUGCGACUUGCGGCGAGCGGCUGCAACUAUCGACGGUUUCGGGGCAAGCGGGCGGCCUCGCCCGAUGCGCGUCGCUGCGGGAGGCUGUGCGGGCCGCCUCUGCGGCGUGCGGGGCUGUGGGUGGCCUUGUCCCCGACGGCAACAGGUUGCUUGCGUGGCCUGGGCCUGUGGGUGGCCUCGUCCCCAACAUCUCGGCGGGUGGCAGCGUUGUUCUGUGAGUCGGCGUGAGCGGAUUCGCGUGGGCGGAGAGGGAGUCCACACCACGCCUGGAACCAACACCGCCGGCUGGAAAAGCAGUGGCUCGCAUGCCUCUGAGGCCCGGUGGAAUCGAAUAUGGCAUCACAUCUGCUUCCGUACCUGAGCGCUCCCCCAGCCUGCAGUUCUCAUCCAAGAUCCCUGAUCUCAAGAUUUCCCCCAAAGCUAUAGCUUCUGUUGAGGAGGAAGAUGAACCCAUCAACAAGAUCAUUUCAAACGUUACAUGAGAUACAAUUCUUGGUAUGGACUCUGGAUCUGCUCUCCAUCCGCUAGUUAAUGCAGAUGCAGCAGGGCAGUUGGACAGCCAUAAGACACCUCGUAGUUUUCGCCCGUUGAGUAAUAUUUGUCUCGGGUAGCUUCUUUAAAGGUCUCCAGACCAAGGAUUUCCUGCCCCUGUCGCUGGAGUCUCCUUCAUGUAUAUGGCGGCGAUGCUCUCUUCAUUUUUUCGGAUGCAAGGGGUGUUCCCUGGGAUUUCACUUCAAAAAAAAGUAUGCAAGUAGAUUGAUAACAGUUUAUCAGUUAGAAGCCAAACAAAAGAUGGCAUUACAUCUACGAUGGAAUAAAGAUGGGCAUCUUGGUGGUUCGGCCAUGUUGUCGAUGGGUAGUCACAUAGGGAGUGUUUCAGCGUCGCAGGUGGGUUUGUGACUUGUUUUAUGUGAUAGUUGUACCAAUAUGUAUGUUAAAUUUCAAACCGUGAGAUGUUCAAUAUUGUGCUUCAGUGGCAUAGCACGGGCAUAUUUUUCUAGUAUGAUGCAAGAACAAAAUUUGGUGUCA